rnacentral:rRNA from 1 species
UUUAAACGCGUCGGACGAUACACGAGACGCGUGGAUUCGUGACGGUAGGAAUAGGAUCAGUCAACACCCUCGGCCCUUCAACUAGGCGGUAUCGGCACUCCCAGCUGGAUCGCACAAAAGGCGGAGCCUCCAGCAGCUCAAAUGGUGAGGGCGUUGGAUCUCGCCGCGGCGAGAGGCUUCGCCGCCGCCGCAGCCGACUCCGUGCAGCGCGCGCCCGGCGCCGUCGUGGGUCUGCUCUUUGUCCUCGUGGCCGCGGUCGCCGUCGUGGCCAUCGCGGCGUUCGGCUGCGCCGACGACGGGAGGGCCAAGCGACGCCGCCGCGAGCGCUGGGGCAGCGGCAGCGGCGCCGGCUACGGAGGCGACGGGGCCGGCGGCGGCGGCUGCGGCGGCGGAGGCGGUCACGGAGGCGGCGGGGGCGGCGGUUGAGGAGCUGAGCGCGCCACGCGAGGGGGUGGCUCCAUCCUGUCUACCUGACCCUGACGGACGGCUCGGCUUACUCUGCUUCUCUUUAGAAUUUCAUCGUCUCGUUGAAUGAAUCUGCGCUUCUGCAGUAUAGAUCGGGUGUAAGAUACUUGUAUGCUUAUGGACGCCAUUUUGCUAUGUCAUAGUGGCUGUUUCGAUUGUUCUAAUGAGUACUGAGCUAGAGACAAUCUGUAUGGAAACUUUGCUCUUUCUUGAUCGUUGUGUUCAUCAUGACCUCUUCGAUCGGCGGCGAGAACCACUGGCUAGCACCGUCCCGGAGGCCGCGAUGGGUGAACGGCCGGAUCAGGAAUUCUUCGGUGGCGGCACGGGCGGCGACGCCGGUCAAGGAACGCUGGUGAUGCAUUUUGUCCAGCUAUAUGCAUGUUUGUGAAGAUCAUUUUGCUGUUCCAUGGUGGAAGAUUCACUUGUUCUAAUGAGUACUGAGGCUACCACCGA